rnacentral:rRNA from 1 species
GAUGAACGCUGGCGGCGUGCUUAACACAUGCAAGUCGAACGGUGAAGCCAAGCUUGCUUGGUGGAUCAGUGGCGAACGGGUGAGUAACACGUGAGCAACCUGCCCUGGACUCUGGGAUAAGCGCUGGAAACGGCGUCUAAUACUGGAUAUGAGCCUCUUCCGCAUGGUGGGGGUUGGAAAGAUUUUUUGGUCUGGGAUGGGCUCGCGGCCUAUCAGCUUGUUGGUGAGGUAAUGGCUCACCAAGGCGUCGACGGGUAGCCGGCCUGAGAGGGUGACCGGCCACACUGGGACUGAGAGACGGCCCAGACUCCUACGGGAGGCAGCAGUGGGGAACAUUGCACAAUGGGCGAAAGCCUGAUGCAGCAACGCCGCGUGAGGGAUGACGGCCUUCGGGUUGUAAACCUCUUUUAGCAGGGAAGAAGCGAAAGUGACGGUACCUGCAGAAAAAGCGCCGGCUAACUACGUG